rnacentral:rRNA from 1 species
AUUGAACGCUGGCGGCAUGCCUUACACAUGCAAGUCGAACGUGAAAGCGGGGCAACCCGCAAGUAGAGUGGCGGACGGGUGAGUAAUACAUCGGAACGUGUCCAGUAAUGGGGGAUAACCUAGCGAAAGUUAGGCUAAUACCGCAUACGAUCUGCGGAUGAAAGCGGGGGAUGCGGCACUAAAGGCUUUUGGCGAAGGUGGCCAAAGGUGAGUCAAGAGCUUUUAGUGCUGCACCUCGCGUUAUUGGAGCGGCUGAUGUCUGAUUAGCUAGUUGGUGAGGUAAAGGCUUACCAAGGCGACGAUCAGUAGCUGGUCUGAGAGGACGGCCAGCCACACUGGGACUGAGACACGGCCCAGACUCCUACGGGAGGCAGCAGUGGGGAAUUUUGGACAAGUGGGGCAACCCUGAUCCAGCCAUGUCGCGUGAGUGAAGAAGGCC